rnacentral:lncRNA from 1 species
UUGAUCUAAAUAAUUUGCAUUGUAUCUCAUAUAGUUUUGCUAUUUAUAGAAUCGAGUUGACUUAUCCUGGUAUAUAAAUCAACUUGUCACAGUGAGUCAACACAAUACUGAGACAAAUAGAAUCCUAUAGACCUAACCUGCAUAAUUGAGUCAGCUCAUUUGCUACUCAUCAGCAAAUGAGCUGACCUACCAGGGUCUCGAGUUGACUCCAAUAAAAUAAGUCAACUCUCCAAGCACUCAAGUCAACCCAAUUGAGAAUCGAGUCGACUCCAU